ensembl:lncRNA
GGGUCUGCUGCUGUAAACAUUGCCUCAGACAAUACCAAAGUAAGGCAACACUAAGAUAUGAGAUAUCAGAUGGUGAUCAAACCUUUACUGGGGUAACAGGUUAGACACAGUCGAGGUAUAGACGACCGGAUGUGGUGCAGCUGACUACAGAGACAUGCAUCUAGGAUGAGACUUAUUGCAAUUGUUUCCAUGAUAGAUAAAGAUCUUCUGUACCUUGUCUAGUCCUGAAGAGGACUUAGGCUGCGUAUUGUCUGCUGCCAGAUACGAGCUACAGUCUCGAGUCUGCUGUACCAGAUGGAUCAUCUUUCUUUUGCUAAAGUGAUGAGCAGAUGAAGCAUGCAGGCUCAUCCCUGAGAAGAGACACGGAGCUGAGAACGCUGGUCUGGUGGCCGACCUGAGUACUGCUGGACCCCCUGACCCCCACGGCUUGACCCCCUGGACCCCCACCUCUGGACCCCCACCCCUGGACCCCCACCUCUGGACCCCCACCUCUGGACCCCAAGGACAGCCCUCUGGCACCAUGGGGAACUGUCUUUCAGAGAUGAAACUGCCAAAAGGAGGCCUUCUGAAGAACCUCCCGGAAGCUGACGCUGGGAAGGAAGAGGAGCGCGGGCCGCCUGCCGACGGCCUGUACGCCGCCGUGGACUUCAGCAAGAAGAGGUCCUCCCGGGCCCCGGCCCCGUGACUCCUCCCCCCCCCCCUGACUCCUCCCCCCGCCCCUCAGAGUGUGUCUACUCCGUCAUUAUCCCGCACAGACCUCCAGCCCCGCCCACCUCGGAGGCUGAGGAAGGGGCCGAUGAUUAUGUCCUCAUGCAGUAGGACCACGAGGUCGACCAACGGCAGUACCGAGCUGGAGCGGACCGGAUGCUCACUGCUGCCGUCGCGGUGAGCCCUGACGGAGGCUCGGGACGUCAUUCUGUGGUUCUACGUUCAUCGCUGCGGAGGAAACGUCACCGCCACCGUAGAAAUGAAGACCUCUCUGUUAGCGGGCUCAUGGAUACCAACAGUCCUGAACACGGCCUCAUACAGUCGUAGUGUAUAUACCAUCCUCAUACUCACACUGUAUACCAUCCUCAUACUCACACUGUAUACCAUCCUCAUACUCACACUGUAUACCAUCCUCAUACUCACACUGUAUACCAUACUCAUACUCACACUGUAUACCAUACUCACACUGUAUACCAUACUCACACUGCAUACCAUACCAUACUCACAC